UACCAGCUCAAAGUUGAGAUCUGGCUCGGUCGGAGUCCGAGUUGUACUGUGGAGAAGAUGCUGUGGCUUGUGGGUUCGGCCUAAGUCCCUCGGAACAGGACGUCAUAGAGGGUGAGACUCCCGUAUGUGGCCAAGGCCUGCGCCCGUGUAAAGCUCUUUCGACGAGUCGAGUUGUAUGGGAAUGCAGCUCAAAAUGGGUGGUAAAUAUCGGCUAAAUAUGGACCAGAGACCGAUAGCGAACAAGUAGAGUGAUCGAAAGAUGAGCAGCACUGUGGAAAGAGAGUGACACAGUACGUGAGAAUGUUGAAAGGGAAGCGCUUGCAACCAGACUUGGGCGCUGCUGAUCAUCCAGAGUUCUCUCUGGUGCACUGGACAGCGCACAGGCCAGCAUCGGAUCGGAUGGCUGGAGAAAGACCGGAGGAACGUAGCUCCCUCUCGGGGGAGUGUUAUAGCCUCUGGUGCCAUACAGCCCAGCCGGACCGAGGACCGCGCCUUCGGGCUAGGAUGCUGGCGUAAUGGUUGUAAGCGACCCG
rnacentral:rRNA from 1 species